GUCGAGAUGUCCGAGCGGUUUAAGGAGCUGGUCUCGAAAACCAGUGAUACGGAAACGUACCGUGGGUUCAAAUCCCACUCUCGACGCCA
rnacentral:tRNA from 1 species